rnacentral:lncRNA from 1 species
GUCCAGUGUUUACUAGCUAGAGGAAGAUGAGCGCCAUGCGUGGCAAGAUGACAACCUGAUGAGCAGCAGGCAUCAUCAUAGAUAAAAGGCAAGUCGGCAACGAUAACAGCGGCUUGCAAGCUGCGCUUUCACGGUCGGAAACGGCAACGACUGUGGUGCCGACUCCCGAUGCCUCCCGAGCCCAAAGCGCAGGAGAUGGAGUAGAUUGUGCUGGUGAUAUGCCUGUGCUUGUGCUGGU